UAGGGAAUCUUCCGCAAUGGACGAAAGUCUGACGGAGCAACGCCGCGUGAGUGAUGAAGGCUUUCGGGUCGUAAAACUCUGUUGUUAGGGAAGAAUAAGUACGAGAGUAACUGCUCGUACCUUGACGGUACCUAACCAGAAAGCCACGGCUAACUACGU
rnacentral:rRNA from 1 species